AGUGACAUUAAUAAGUUAACAACUUAAAAAAUAACAUUACUGCGUUUUUUAGUCAGACAGAAUUUAUUUUUUUUUAAGAAACCUAUAAAAAUCAACAAGAAUAUUCAAAAAUUAUUUAUUGACUACAACAUGAAAUAAUACAAAAAGGAUUUUAUCGUCAGUAUAGUAAGAAGACUACUAAAGAUUCAGGCUUAAAGUUACGACCAUCAAAAAUUCAUUUAUAACUUUUAAGUACCUUAAUUAUUUUGAGUCAAGAUUCUUUUACAAAAAAUUAUUUUAAAAAUAAUCAUAAUAAUAAAAUGAUUUGAAACAUUUAAAGAACACAAUGAAAAGCUUAAAAGUUUUUCAGAAGCAAAAUUACAGCCAAUAAAAUUUAAAUAUCAACAGCUUAUACAUAUUAUAGACAAGAUAAAUUUCAUUUUAUACUUCAAGACAAUAUUAAAAUGUUCGAUCAACUUUUAAUGAGAUUACUACAUUACUUUUGACAGAAUAAUGAUGGACAUAUGAUGAAAUAUAACCUUAAGAUUUCAAACUUUAAUUCGAUAAAACUAUAGCACAUUCCAAAAUUAAUAACAGGUUUAAUAAGUCAAAUCUGCCAAGCAACACACAGUGAGAUGUAAAAAAAAACACGUGCAUUAUUACACGUCGUUAAGUUGGUGUCAACAUGCAGCGAUCAACUAAAUGAUAAUGAUCCGCCAAUUGUCAUUGGCGAUGUACACAAUGAAAUAGAGAUAAGAAAUACCGUAAAAACUUCAGAAUCGUUCGUUAGAAAAUUUUAAUUUUAUGUAACGCGUAUGUUUUGUGCGUGUAACACGGUUAUGUUAUAAUAUUAAAUAUUUGUGGUAUUCACAUGAUGCUCGAGAUGUUAUAUUAUUAAUACAAGUAUCAUUCAUACAUUACAAGAAGACAUUUGUCAUCAAUAUACGUCAAAAAAAAAAAAAUUCGGAAAACAAAACAUUUUCAAUGCGGAUCAUCAACGAUAAUAUGACGAG